rnacentral:lncRNA from 10 species
CCGUAGUCCCAGCUACUCAGCAGGCUGAGGCAGGAAGAUCACUUGAGCCAAGGAGUUCGAGUCCAGCCUGGACAACAUAGCAAGACCCCGUCUCUUAAAAAAUAGGUGUGCUUUGAAAAAGCUGUUCUUGCUUGAGUGUUCUCAAGCUGGCGGUUGAAUUUUAAGGGGUGAUGUGCUCCACAGUUCAUCCUUGUCCCCGAAUCAAGACUCUUUGUAAUGAAGUCAUCAUGGCCAUGUGAUAAGUUUCCCCUGAAUCUGCAAGAUCCUUUCGUGGCUGUUGCUCUAGGAGUCACGGGCCUUGGAAGGGGAAGGUUAUUCUCACCAACAGGGAAGUGUACAGAGCUCUGGCCUGGGUGGAAAAGGAUGGUCUAGUUGUCAAUCGUCUGAUCAAUUUUUUCUUUUUUUUUUGAAACAGAGUCUUCCUCUCUUGCCCAGUCUGGAAUGCAGUGGCAUGAUCUUGGCUCACUAUAACCACUGCCUCCCUGGUUCAAGCAAUUCUCCUGCCUCAACCUCCCGAGUAGCUGGGACUACAGACAUGCACCACCACGCCCGACUAAUUUUUGUACUUUUAGUAGAGAUGAGGUUUCACCAUGUUGGCCAGGCUGGUCUUGAACUCCUGACCUCAGGUGAUCCACCCCCCUCAGCCUCCCAAAGUGCUGGGAUUACAAGCAUGAGCCACCGCGCCCAGCCAAUCAUCUGAUCUAUUGCAGUGGGCAGGGCAGCCUCAGGAGGCCAUCAGGGAGAUGUCCAGCUAGCGAGAGAAAUCAGGAAGGAGGCCCUUUUGUCCUGCCCUCACCUCUCACUCCUGACCUCUCAUUCCCACCUCCCUCUCAUCCCAGCUGCCCAUCAGGAGCAGGGCAGUCUGCCUUGAAGGAGUCAUCCCUCUGGCUAAGUCUCGAGGGCUAAGGCAGCUUGAAGUGCCACCUGUGGGGAGUGGGAGUCCAAAUAUCUGCCCUUCAGUGCUACACAGCUCAGGAUGGGUUUUCAGUCACCGAUGACUUUCUACUGCUCCAGUUCUGAGUAUCAGCUCUGCCACUUCCUGCCUAUAGAGUCUGGGGAGCACGUCUGUCCUGUCUCUGUGCCUCCAAGCCACGAUUUCCUCACUCAUAGCAUGAGGAUGAGCAUGGGACUAGCUUUCUAGAGCCGUUGUGAAGAUGAGAUGAGCUAAUCGGUGUAAAGGGCUUAGCCCAGUGCUUCCUGGCCUAGUGCUCAGAGCUGGUGCUACUGAUCUGUGGAGUAGGGUGGGCUGGGGGAAGCUGUGCCCAGGGCAGCAGACCCUCGGGGAGCUUUCCCAGUGGGAAGAUUCCCUGUCCAGGAGCACAGAGAGCCAAGCCAUGGGGCUCACCACUUCCUUCUCCUAACUUGGAAACUUCGCGCAGAUGGUCCAGACUUAGGGUGGUUCAACUUACGACUUUUCAAGUUUGCAAUGGGUUUGUCGGGGUAUUAAAUGAAUUUUUGACUUAGGAUGUUUUCAGCUUACAAUGGGUUUAUUGAGAGGCAACCCCACUGUAGGUCAAGGAGCAUCUCUAUUUCCCGAGUCAUCAUACUCAACGUUCAUUAUUAACAGCAGCUGCCAACUGUUGAGCACCUGCUGCAUACUUAGCCCACGGUAUGGUUCAUCACAGAUAUUGUUGUUAAUCUUCCACACAGCCCCAUCACGAGAGUUGAGUACGUUCCUGGUAUAAAUGUCAGGAGAGGGCAAAUGCCCUGUCCCGGGUAAUAUGGCUGGCAGGUGGAGUCGAACCAUGUGUCUGACUCCAAAACCCAUGCUCUCUGCUCCCAGCCACCCAAUUGCUCCUCCAGAGUGCCAGCUUUGGAGAUGCAGAGAUGAACACCACCUGGGUCUGACCUGGAAGCGCUCGUGCAGCCAGACCCUGAAGGCCUGGGGACAGGGACUGGGCCUGACAAUCUUGGCAGAUUCCACACAGAACAGCCUAGGUCUUGCUCAGAGAACAUUCUCAGGAAAGACUGAACAAGCUGGAGAACCAAGUGAAAUUCUUUAAAAAAUGCUCUAACAAAUGCUUUAAUAAAAAAGAUAUUUAUGCAUUCUAGA